rnacentral:ncRNA from 2 species
AAAGACCACUAGGGGUGCUUGAAGCUGAGAUUGGAUGAAAAAUCCUGACCCUUAGACCUGAUCUGGUUAGUACCAGCGUAGGAAAUGUGGAUGUUUGAUAGU